CAAAUCCACGAACCCUAACCAGUGAGAGAGGGAGAGAGAGAGAGAGAGAGCUAUUUCAAUGGCGAUACAGACCUCGAGCUUGAGCAAAAGACAUGCUUUAGGCGAAACGACUCAAAGCACUUCUUUGUUUGGAGGGAGUUUCUGUGUGGAGCUAAUUCUGGGGCAUUUGGAGAAGGAAUAAUGCGUCCAGUUGUCUCUGUAAAGAUAAGUUUCUGUUGGGAGCUAUUUCUAGGGUAUUUGGGGUCCUGUAAAGACAUGUAUUCAGAGCCAAGCUUAUCUUUGUGCAAUUCAGGUUAUGUUCUAUCUGAAGGCUUGAAAGAUUGAAUAGAGUAUGGGAAGCAAAAAUACAAGCAAUCCAAAUUUCCAUAGUGGUGGUAUGUUUGAGAGACUCAUAGAAGGAGGAUUGUCUAGUGGUGGUAUGUCGUUAAGUCUUGUAUAAUUGAAUUCAGUAUUUUUUGUAGGGUGAUAUAUAUAUACUUGCCUUGAUUCAUUGAUGAAUUAUGGAGGUUAGAUGUGAUAGCAAAAUGGCCUAACAUUUAGUAGUUUUUUGUAGGGCCUAACAUUUACGUCAAAAAUUUUAUACGGUUCAUUGGAUGGAUUAUGGAAGUUAGAUGUUAUAGCAAAA